UUUCAAGCUCUUUUAUGCUUUGGUUAUUUAUAUUUCUCUAUUUAUGGUUUUAAUCAACCGUAGUAAGUUAUAUUCUUGUAUUAUUUUUAACUUUUUUUUAUACAUAAUGUUUACUUAUCUUUUAGUAAUUUAUUCAUUUUUUAAUAUCGCAGCUCCAUUCCCCUUAAAUCUACUUCGGUGCAUUAAAGAUGAUGAUUGUCCUUGGGAUAUGUGUCUUCACACUAUGUCAGAUCGGAUAUGUAUUAGUGAUGCUUGUUUUUGCGCAUGACUUUUAGAAAAACAAAUCUAUAUUACUCAUUAACAACGAAUAAUUUUACUUGUAAAUGAAGUUUCCAAAAUAAUAUUUAAAUUAUUUUUGGCUUCUCUAUUUUGAUAAAAGUGAAAUCAAUUGUUAAAGUUGUUAUAAAUAAUAUUCAAUUUGGAUAUGGUUGUCCAUUUUCUUA
rnacentral:lncRNA from 1 species